UACAAUGGUACAAUCUUGGCUCACUGCAACCUCUGCCUCCCAAGUUCAAGCGAUUCUCCUGCUUCAGCAUCCGGAGUAGCUGUGAUUACAAACGUGCCACUAUACCCGGAGCUUAUGGUCUUUUCUUAACAUUUCUUGAUGACGAGGAUGGGAUUUGAAGUGGCACCCUUGCUUUUUCCCAACACUAUCUGGACCAAUGCAUU
rnacentral:lncRNA from 10 species